rnacentral:rRNA from 1 species
AGGGGGACAACAGUUGGAAACGACUGCUAAUACCGCAUACGAUCUGACCUCGGCAUCGAGGAUAGAUGAAAGGUGGCCUCUAUUUAUAAGCUAUCACUGAAGGAGGGGAUUGCGUCUGAUUAGCUAGUUGGAGGGGUAACGGCCCACCAAGGCGAUGAUCAGUAGCCGGUCUGAGAGGAUGAACGGCCACAUUGGGACUGAGACACGGCCCAG